CUCUCAACAUGAUUCAUAAAGAAAUGUGUAUUUUUUAAAAAGUUAACAUACAUGUAGAUUAUAAAAACCCCCAAACCAAAGUGUACUUCCUAAGGCAUUAGGAACAUUACUAUCAUGAUAGACAGAGAAUAUCAAAGCCAGGAAGGACCUUACAAAUGAGGCCUAGAAAGCACACCCAACUCUUUCGUUUUAUGGAAGGGAAUUUUAUGGAGGGGUAGAGUUGGGGUCCCCAAAGGAAGGUAUAAGUGAAGCCCUGGGGCUGGAAACCUGGUUCUGUGAAGAGCUUUGAAAUUUUAAGAGGGGGGAAGACACAGGGUAACUCCAGACUAAGAUUAUAUGGCUUCUCUCUGGGCAACCACUCUCCUGACCUUGUAGGAGCCACGUAGGAUGGGAGAUGAUGGCAGUGGGAUGGGUCCUGAUGGCGAUAGAAUGGGUCCUGAUAGCGAUAGGAUGGGUCCUGAUGGUGAUAGGAUGGGUCCUGAUGGCAGUGGGAUGGGUCCUGAUGACAGUGGGAUGGAUCCUGAUGGUGAUAAGAUGGGUCCGGAUGGCAGUGGGAUGAGUUGAGCAGCAAUGGGGGUUCAAGUGACCACUGGGAUGAAAGGAAGAAAUGUAGAAAUGAGAAAGGGGGAGAUACAGAGAAAUCUGGGGAGAUGUGUGGGAACUAUCCCAGAGGAAGCUGAGCAGGACCAGGAGAGCCAUUUUUACUAAAAGCAAACAGACUGGAAAGACUUGACAUCCUCCCCUCAAUGUGAUUGCCAACGACCACCAUUCCAGGACAGAGGUCCAGCGUACCUACUCCCCCCCCAUACACACACCAUGGAAGGAUGAUGGACCCAGGAGGAAAAAGGAGAUGCAUCCUGGAGAGGUUGACCUCUGGAGGGCAGCAAUGAGCCACGUGGGAGCUGCCCAAGGCAUUAAUGGAGGGAUCCAGCUGCAGCCUUGACAUCCCUGGUCCAAGUGCUAAAGAACUGUGAGCCAGGCUGGAGGGCAAGGAGGGGUUUGAACCUAGACCCGGCAAGGAGAGGGCACUGCAGUCCCCCAGGCGGGCCAGCUGAGGGCCGUGUUCUAACAGGCAUGGGCUACACGGUCCUGAGUGGGCUCAGGAGUCUGGAAAGUUUCUGGCCACUACAGAGAGGCUGCCACAGACACACAGUAGGGACUUACAUGCGGACUGAGUUUCACCUUGUAAGCCUCUUGGGAGGAUCAGUUGAAAUCAUGAAGAUGAGAAUGACCAGCCUAUCUGACCAUAGAGGACCCUCAGUGCAACACGGGCACCUGCCCCCUCCCCCUCCCCCUGCUGAGCACCCCCUCCAGACUUCCCGAGAUGGAAGAAGCCCUCACUUACCCUGGUGUCCUGUGAUUGGGAAAAUCCGCAGCAGCAGGAGAGAGAGUCCUUUAGAAAAAGUUGUACCAUACUCAUAACAGUGGGCUCCCUCCUCCCCCAGAGAGACAGAGAAAAAGAGACAGAGAGACAGACACAGAGAUACAGAGAGAAAUAG